CGCUGGCAGCCCUGCCUCAAACGAGCUGUCGGCGAACCCCUCUCAGCUAAACCGCGAAGCUGAUCUGCCAAUCGCGAAUAUGACAGAACGAGAACGUGGGACAAUGACUAAUCCGAUUUUGACGAGAUCAAUGGUGAACAGUGGCAAAUCGUGCAACCAAUAAUUGAAAUCGAAUCCCAGCUCUCAUUUGUGAAACUUUUCUCUUGUUUUCGAACAUUUAUUACUGCAUCUCAUUCACUAAUUGUAAGUGCUAAUGAAUUCGGAACCCAAAUUGUUAAAAUCCUACUUAAAAUUACUUAAAAUUACAGUUUCCUGAAGGGGUUAAAACUUAAGGUCUAAAGUUGAUCUCUAAAACAACAUUUCUUCCUAAAAGUAAGAUAUUAUAACAUGCAAUUGAACUAUCAUAUCGCUAUUAUUAAGUUUACAUCACGAUUUAUAGUUGGAGUCAGGCUAGCUGAAUCGGGUCGAGCAGUGGUUAUUUAAUCGCGCACAAACACUGAAUGUGUAAGUAGGCAUGCAUAUGUAACCUCAAACAUGUUAUAACUACAUCAUAAACUCAAUACAUUUCAGUUUAAAGCUGUACUGCACCAACAGUCGUGUUUUUUGUGCUGCUAAGAACGCAGUGUCUCGUGCCUAUCUCUGCUCCCCGUCAACAGAGCUUUAAAACAUUCAACACGAUGAGUGCUAACUCAAAGGACAAGUCGCCGGAGGCCGGACGAGAGGUAGGAUGCGUUCAUUGCUCGCGGCCCGAUUCGUUCGACAAUUUCGUACAGUGCGACCAGUGUGAUGGCUGGUGGCACAUGCGCUGUGCUGGAGUUACAAACUCCGUUUCGGAGCGGCCGUGGACUUGUUCUACCUGUUUGCCAUUGAGUGUUUCCUCGUCUAGCAGCAACGCUGCUCGUAUAGCCCUACGGCUGAAGAGAAUCGAAGAGGAGCGCGCGAUCCAGCGCCGCGAAUGGGAGGCAGAGAAAAGAGCCUUCGAACUGGAGAAAAAGGCCUUCGAACACGAGAAAAAGGUCGUGCAGGAAAAGUAUAGACUGCUGGAAGAGCAGCUAGCGGAACGAGUGGAUGGAUCUAGACGGAGCCAAGUAAGCCGGCGCUCAAGCAUGCGGCGAGUUAGUUCCUGGGUUGAAAAUCUUUCCACGAAUCCGGAAUUGGAAGGCGCCGUUGGAGGAGCGGUCCCUCGGAAGCUCGAAGCAGAGGGCGCCGUUGAUCGAACGGCCCAGGGAAAAAAAUUGGCAGAAGCUCGACGAAGUGAAUCGUACGGUGUAUCAGCAGGCAACGAGGUCUCACCCGAAUGCCAUAAGCCACCGAACGAAGGACAACAGCAGCAGGAAUCGAAUGCGAAUCCAGCGCCCCAGUCGGCGCGGUUGGAUGCCCAGGAUGGACGAUUGCAGCUCAACGGGAAUCAGCAGCGGAACACGGGCGCGUUUCCUAAAACGAUUCCGAACAGUCUAAAUCCAAAUUUCAAUGGUCGUACGAACCCGACCGAUGGUAACGUAUUUGCCUCUGCGCCCUUUGUAAUGCCACCAGGUAAGCUACCAACCAGUAAUAAAACCCAUGCCAAUAUAUCCGCUCAAACGAGCGACGACCCGUACGGAAGUCUUCUAGCCAGACUAGGGUCUUUUAGUGUGUCUCCCAACAAUGUGAGUCCACAGCCACCUUUUGUGACCGAGUCUGUCAUAAGAGACCAUGUCACCCCUAUCGUUUCUCUCCCCCCACCAAUCACGGAGAGAAACGAAAAUAUGCUAGGGCAAACAGUCAAUACAGAUUAUGUUAAUAACAGUCAAUCAAGUGCGCCGUUCCCUCGUACGACAGUUAAUGUGCCUGACCAUGUGCCUUCCCCCUCGCAGUUAGCCGCGCGCCAAGUUAUGCCUCGCGAUUUACCCCCGUUCUCCGGUGAUCCCGCGGACUGGCCGAUAUUUAUAAGUGCAUUCGAAAAUACAACCGUCGCGUGUGGAUACUCGAGAGUGGAAAAUCUAGCAAGACUGCAGCGUUGUUUAAAAGGUGCCGCGUAUGAAUCGGUUAGAAGUCGUCUUCUUCUACCAGAAUCAGUGCCGCAGGUUAUCAGUACGUUACGACUCCUAUACGGACGACCGGAGCUGCUAAUCAGCGUAUUGCUGGACAAGGUGCGGUCAACUCCAGCGCCAAGGGCCGAGAAGCUGGAGACGCUAAUUGAGUUCGGUAUGGCCGUACAAAGUUUGUGCGACCAUCUAGUAGCAGCUGGUCAACAAUCUCACCUGACGAGUCCUUACCUGUUGAUGGAGCUUGUAGAGAAACUUCCUGCUCACGUGAAGAUGGAAUGGGCGAGUUAUAUGCAGCGCUUCCCAGACGUGAACCUGAAAACGUUUGGGGACUUUAUGAGUACAAUGGUGAUCUCGGCAAGCAAGGUGACAUUGUACACAGGCGCGAGCUGCACAAGUACAACGGACAGAUCAAAACCAAAACCCAGAGGAUCAGUCAAUACCCACAUCAGUGAGCCGGAAAUUCACAUACCAAGCCAGUGCUGUGUGUGCAAAGAACUCGGACAUUUUGUCCGGGAAUGUGAUACGUUCAAUGCGCUCUCUGUUGACGAACGCUGGAAAGCUGUUCAAACUCAUGAGCUCUGCCGCAAUUGUUUGAACGCUCACGGAACAAGAAAUUGUCGGAAUGCCAGGCAAUGUGGAAUCAACGGAUGUACGUACCGACAUCAUCGCCUACUGCAUUCAAACCGCAGUAAUCGAACUACGAAUCCAGCACGUAACAUGGAUUCGGCUGGAAACCAUACGCAUCGUUUAGACAAUCAAUCCCUACUCUUUCGUAUUUUGCCCGUAACACUUCAUGGACCCUCGAAGAAAAUAAAGACGUACGCCUUCCUCGAUGACGGGUCGCACCUUACACUCAUCGAAGAUCAACUUGCAAAGGACCUCGGAGUAGAAGGUAGAACUAUUCCGCUCUGCCUGACCUGGACAGGAGAUGUCUCGCGAUUGGAACCAAAUUCGAAGCAGAUACAACUGGGAGUUUCCGGGGCCGAUGGUAGGAGCCAACAGAAGUUAAGUGACGUCCGCACCGUGAAAAAACUCGCGCUUCCUGGUCAAACGCUACGAAUGGAAGACCUUGGAAGCACCUUCAAUCACCUAAAGGGUCUGCCUAUAUCUGGGUACGAAGACGCAGUGCCCCGUUUAUUGAUAGGAGUCAACAACUUGCACCUCACCGUUCCGUUAAAAGUGAAAGAAGGACGUGUUAGCGAACCUGUCGCUGUAAAAACCCGUCUUGGCUGGUGCGUAUAUGGAGGAAGCAGUAAUCGGUUAUCUACUUCACUGAACAUUCACGCGUGCCAGUGUAGUAACGACGGGGACUUGCACGAGUUGGUGAAGAGCUAUUUCACUCUAGAUGACGUCGGAAUGAGUUCAACCAAAGUAUUCAUGUCCGCGGAAGAUAAAAGAGCGCAACAAAUUCUUCAAGAAACAACCGUACGAAUUGGCGAAAGAUAUGAAACUGGACUGUUAUGGAAGCACGAUGAAGUCGAGUUUCCCGAUAGCUAUGGGAUGGCGAUGCGAAGAUUGGAAUGCCUGGAGCGUCGAAUGAGUAAGAAUCUCUCUCUGAAGGAAAGCUUGAGUCGUCAAAUAGAGGAGUAUCAGCAGAAGGGUUAUGCACAUCGAGUCAGUGGUGAAGAGAUGAAGCAAACGGAUCUCAAGCGGGUCUGGUAUCUGCCGCUCGGAGCGGUGGUAAAUCCGAAGAAACCAGAAAAGGUGCGGCUAAUUUGGGAUGCGGCAGCGGUGGUGGACGGGAUCUCUCUAAACGCAAUGCUCUUGAAGGGUCCAGAUCAGUUAGCAUCGUUAGUAGGAGUAUUAUUCCGGUUUCGUCAGUACAAUGUGGCGGUAUCGGCCGAUAUAAGAGAGAUGUUCCACCAAAUAAGAAUCAGAGCAACCGAUCGACACUCUCAACGAUUUCUGUGGCGAGAUGAUCCAUCUAUGCCGGCUGAGAUUUUCGUUAUGGACGUCGCAACAUUUGGAUCUACUUGCUCGCCAGCAUCAGCCCAGUACGUCAAGAAUCUGAAUGCGGCGGAGUAUGCGGAGAAGCACCCGAAGGCUGUAGGCGAUAUUGUCAACAACACAUACGUGGAUGACUACUUGGCGAGCUUUGAAAGCAAAACCGAAGCAACUGAUGUUGCGGUACAAGUUCGAGACAUCCAACAAGAAGGAGGAUUCUCACUACGAAACUGGCAGUCUAAUAGCGUCGAAGUAACUCAAGCUCUAGGCGAACCUUCGGCGACAAGCGGAAUGCAUUCGUUUCAAGACAAAAGCCAGGCGUAUGAGCGCAUAUUGGGCAUGCUCUGGCUCACUGAUGAAGAUGUGUUAAGCUUUAGCACACAGCUGAAGGACGACGUGCAGCAAAUCGUCUAUGGUGACUCAAAUCCAACAAAAAGACAAGUGCUUCGGUGUUUAAUGAGUUUCUUUGAUCCUUUGGGAUUGUUGGGCUUCCUCCUAGUGCACGGUAAAAUACUACUGCAGGAUAUCUGGCGAGCGGGUACCCAGUGGGAUCAGGAGGUUGAAGAAGAACACCGGAAUCGCUGGAGGGAUUGGAUUUCGCUGCUGCAGCAGAUUUCGACGAUCAAACUGCCCAGAUGCUAUUUUCUUGGGGCUACACGGUUACACUAUCAGCGAUUGCAGUUACACAUAUUUGUGGACGCCAGCGAAACCGCUUAUGCUGCCGUAGCGUACUUCCGGAUCGUCGAUCUAGAUGGAAUGGUUCGAUGUGCAUUGGUAUCAGCAAAAACUAAAGUGGCACCACUAAAGCCGCUGUCCAUACCUCGGUUAGAGUUACAGGCGGCUGUUCUCGGAACUCGCUUGAUGCGUUUCGUCGAGGAAUCCCACACUCUGGUGAUAACGCAACGAUAUUUUUGGUCAGACUCCUCCACCGUUCUGGCAUGGCUCAAAGCGGAUCCCAGGAAAUACAAGCAAUACGUGGCCUGUCGGAUCGGCGAAAUUCUAUCUGUCACCGAAGUAAACGAGUGGAAGUGGGUUCCUACGAAAUUGAAUCCUGCAGAUUUAGCAACGAAAUGGGGAAGUGGCCCUUCGCUGGACGCCAAAAGUGUAUGGUUUACUGGACCAUAUUUUCUGCAGAAACCUUUCGAAGAAUGGCCCAAACAGAAUACACUUCAACGGACUGUUGAUGUGGAAUUGCGUACAUGUAAUGUACACACCGAGGCUACAGUACGGUUACCAGUGAUCAAUUAUGCUCGGUUUUCAAAAUGGGAGAGGCUGCAUCGAGCUACAGCCUACGUACACAGGUACGUGGGAAACCUAAAACGGAAAUCUCUUGGUGUUGUGCGGAGUAGCGGAUAUCUCACUCAAGCGGAGCUUCAACUGGCCGAAAUAACGUUGAUCACGGGAUCCCAGUGGCAGGAAUAUCCAUCAGAGAUGGUAGUACUCCAGCGUAACCGAAGUCGUCCAGAAACGGAGAGAGAGUGUCUGAGCAGGCAAAGCGCAUUGUAUCAGUUGACACCCUUUGUCGAUGAAGAAGGUGUAUUACGGAUAGAUGGUAGAAUCGGAGCUGCGAAGGACGUCUGCAUCAACACGAAGUUUCCAGCUAUUCUUCCAAGAAAACAUCGGAUAUGCGAGCUCAUCGUGGACCUGUUUCAUCGGAAGUACCAGCAUGCGAAUUCGGAAACCGUGGUGAACGAGAUUCGGCAGCAGUAUUAUAUUCCACGCCUGAGGUCGCUAGUUCGGAAGGUUGUCAACGGAUGCCCAGUGUGCAAAGCACGUAAAGCGGUUCCACAUGUACCUCGCAUGGCUUCACUUCCACCAGCUCGCUUGGCAUCCUUCGCCAGGCCCUUCACAUACGUUGGCCUGGACUAUUUUGGGCCAUUGGUGGUUAAAGUAGGUCGUGGUAAUGCGAAAAGGUGGAUAGCGCUUUUUACCUGCCUUACCAUUCGCGCUGUACAUUGCGAGGUAGUGUGUAGCCUAUCCACAGACGCCUGUAUCAAAGCUAUACGUCGCUUCGUAUGCCGUCGCGGUGCGCCAGCAGAAAUAUAUUCUGAUAACGGCACCAACUUCCAGGGUGUCGAACGGAUUUUGAUGAAGGAGAUACAACUUGGUGUAGCCGCAACUAUUACCAGCACCACGACCAAAUGGUUCUUCAUUCCUCCUGCCUCCCCCCACAUGGGAGGGGCAUGGGAACGUAUGGUUCGUUCGAUUAAGCAGGCCAUGAUGGGAGCGUAUCGCUGUGACAGAAAACUGGACGAUGAAUCCCUGCUUACUUUCGUCAUCGAGGCAGAGAACAUCGUAAACAGCAGGCCAUUGACUUAUCUUCCCUUGGAUUCGGCGGAGAGUGAGGCGUUAACGCCGAACCAUUUUCUGUUGGGGAGUUCUUCUGGAGUACGGCAGCCUGGUGUUGACCCUAACGCUGACACGGUAGCGCUAAGAAAUUCUUUGAACCUGAUUAAACUUCAGCUGGAUCGCUUCUGGACUCGGUGGAUUAAAGAAAUGCUGCCAACGUUAACCAGGAGGACUAAAUGGUUCGGUGAGGAAAAGAUGAUAGCAGUAGGAGACCUGGUGUUAAUUGUUGAUGACGGGAACCGAAACAACUGGACUAGAGGACGAGUGCAAGAGGUCAUACCAGGAAGUGACGGCCGGGUUCGCCAGGCUUUAGUAAAAACUGCGAGGGGAUGUCUGCGUAGACCUGUGGCUAAACUAGCAAUCCUCGAUAUAUUGGAUGGUAGUAAGACUGGCACUGGUGGCCAGCAUUACGGGGGGGAGGAUGUUGCCGCUGGCAGCCCUGCCUCAAACGAGCUGUCGGCGAACCCCUCUCAGCUAAACCGCGAAGCUGAUCUGCCAAUCGCGAAUAUGACAGAACGAGAACGUGGGACAAUGACUAAUCCGAUUUUGACGAGAUCAAUGGUGAACAGUGGCAAAUCGUGCAACCAAUAAUUGAAAUCGAAUCCCAGCUCUCAUUUGUGAAACUUUUCUCUUGUUUUCGAACAUUUAUUACUGCAUCUCAUUCACUAAUUUUUCCUGAAGGGGUUAAAACUUAAGGUCUAAAGUUGAUCUCUAAAACAACAUUUCUUCCUAAAAGUAAGAUAUUAUAACAUGCAAUUGAACUAUCAUAUCGCUAUUAUUAAGUUUACAUCACGAUUUAUAGUUGGAGUCAGGCUAGCUGAAUCGGGUCGAGCAGUGGUUAUUUAAUCGCGCACAAACACUGAAUGUGUAAGUAGGCAUGCAUAUGUAACCUCAAACAUGUUAUAACUACAUCAUAAACUCAAUACAUUUCAGUUUAAAGCUGUACUGCACCAACAGUCGUGUUUUUUGUGCUGCUAAGAACGCAGUGUCUCGUGCCUAUCUCUGCUCCCCGU